CCCUUAGAUGUUCUGGGCUGCACGCGCGCUACACUGAUGUGUUCAUCGGGUUCGACCUUGCCCGGGAGGGUUGGGUAAUCCUUUCAAAACACAUCGUGAUGGGGAUAGAUUAUUGCAAUUAUUAAUCUUCAACGAGGAAUUCCUAGUAAGCGCGAGUCAUCAGCUCGUGCUGAUUACGUCCCUGCCCUUUGUACACACCGCCCGUCGCUCCUACCGAUUGAGUGUUCCGGUGAACUGAUUGGGUUGUAGAACGCUGUGUAUCUACGCAAAAUUUUGCAAGAAAUUCCGCGAACCUUAACACUUAGAGGAAGGAGAAGUCGUAACA
rnacentral:rRNA from 1 species